CCUACGGGAGGCAGCAGUUAGGAAUAUUGGACAAUGGGGGCAACCCUGAUCCAGCCAUGCCGCGUGUGUGAAGAAGGCCUUAGGGUUGUAAAGCACUUUCAGCUGUGAAGAUAAUGACAGUAGCAGAAGAAGAAGCUCCGGCUAAAUUCGUGCCAGCAGCCGCGGUAAUACGAAUGGAGCGAGCGUUGUUCGGAAUCACUGGGCGUAAAGGGUGCGCAGGCGGUCAUGAAAGUUAGAAGUGAAAUCCCAGGGCUUAACCCUGGAAUGGCUUUUAAAACUCCAUGACUAGAGUACUGGAGAGGUUGGCGGAAUUCCGAGUGUAGAGGUGAAAUUCGCAGAUAUUCGGAGGAACACCAAUGGCGUAGGCAGCCAACUGGACAGUAACUGACGCUCAUGCACGAAAGCGUGGGGAUCAAACAGGAUUAGAUACCCUGGUAGUCCACGCCCUAAACGAUGUGUGCUAGUUGUCGGUUCUUAGACUCGGUGACGCAGCUACGUACUUACGUCACACCGCCGUCGGGAGGUACGGUACGCGACGAUUAAACUACAAUAGAAGUUAGUACGGCGUGAGACGUGCCGACGGACGACGACGAGGGAGGUAGG
rnacentral:rRNA from 1 species